rnacentral:rRNA from 1 species
UAUAAUGGGUCAGCGACUUAUAUUCUGUAGCAAGGUUAACCGAAUAGGGGAGCCGAAGGGAAACCGAGUCUUAACUGGGCGUUAAGUUGCAGGGUAUAGACCCGAAACCCGGUGAUCUAGCCAUGGGCAGGUUGAAGGUUGGGUAACACUAACUGGAGGACCGAACCGACUAAUGUUGAAAAAUUAGCGGAUGACUUGUGGCUGGGGGUGAAAGGCCAAUCAAACCGGGAGAUAGCUGGUUCUCCCCGAAAGCUAUUUAGGUAGCGCCUCGUGAAUUCAUCUCCGGGGGUAGAGCACUGUUUCGGCAAGGGGGUCAUCCCGACUUACCAACCCGAUGCAAACUGCGAAUACCGGAGAAUGUUAUCACGGGAGACACACGGCGGGUGCUAACGUCCGUCGUGAAGAGGGAAACAACCCAGACCGCCAGCUAAGGUCCCAAAGUCAUGGUUAAGUGGGAAACGAUGUGGGAAGGCCCAGACAGCCAGGAUGUUGGCUUAGAAGCAGCCAUCAUUUAAAGAAAGCGUAAUAGCUCACUGGUCGAGUCGGCCUGCGCGGAAGAUGUAACGGGGCUAAACCAUGCACCGAAGCUGCGGCAGCGACACUGUGUGUUGUUGGGUAGGGGAGCGUUCUGUAAGCCUGUGAAGGUGUCUGUGAGGAUGCUGGAGGUAUCAGAAGUGCGAAUGCUGACAUAAGUAACGAUAAAGCGGGUGAAAAGCCCGCUCGCCGGAAGACCAAGGGUUCCUGUCCAACGUUAAUCGGGGCAGGGUGAGUCGACCCCUAAGGCGAGGCCGAAAGGCGUAGUCGAUGGGAAACAGGUUAAUAUUCCUGUACUUGGUGUUACUGCGAAGGGGGGACGGAGAAGGCUAUGUUGGCCGGGCGACGGUUGUCCCGGUUUAAGCGUGUAGGCUGGUUUUCCAGGCAAAUCCGGAAAAUCAAGGCUGAGGCGUGAUGACGAGGCACUACGGUGCUGAAGCAACAAAUGCCCUGCUUCCAGGAAAAGCCUCUAAGCAUCAGGUAACAUCAAAUCGUACCCCAAACCGACACAGGUGGUCAGGUAGAGAAUACCAAGGCGCUUGAGAGAACUCGGGUGAAGGAACUAGGCAAAAUGGUGCCGUAACUUCGGGAGAAGGCACGCUGAUAUGUAGGUGAAGUCCCUCGCGGAUGGAGCUGAAAUCAGUCGAAGAUACCAGCUGGCUGCAACUGUUUAUUAAAAACACAGCACUGUGCAAACACGAAAGUGGACGUAUACGGUGUGACGCCUGCCCGGUGCCGGAAGGUUAAUUGAUGGGGUCAGCGCAAGCGAAGCUCUUGAUCGAAGCCCCGGUAAACGGCGGCCGUAACUAUAACGGUCCUAAGGUAGCGAAAUUCCUUGUCGGGUAAGUUCCGACCUGCACGAAUGGCGUAAUGAUGGCCAGGCUGUCUCCACCCGAGACUCAGUGAAAUUGAACUCGCUGUGAAGAUGCAGUGUACCCGCGGCAAGACGGAAAGACCCCGUGAACCUUUACUAUAGCUUGACACUGAACAUUGAGCCUUGAUGUGUAGGAUAGGUGGGAGGCUUUGAAGUGUGGACGCCAGUCUGCAUGGAGCCGACCUUGAAAUACCACCCUUUAAUGUUUGAUGUUCUAACGUGGACCCGUGAUCCGGGUUGCGGACAGUGUCUGGUGGGUAGUUUGACUGGGGCGGUCUCCUCCUAAAGAGUAACGGAGGAGCACGAAGGUUGGCUAAUCCUGGUCGGACAUCAGGAGGUUAGUGCAAUGGCAUAAGCCAGCUUGACUGCGAGCGUGACGGCGCGAGCAGGUGCGAAAGCAGGUCAUAGUGAUCCGGUGGUUCUGAAUGGAAGGGCCAUCGCUCAACGGAUAAAAGGUACUCCGGGGAUAACAGGCUGAUACCGCCCAAGAGUUCAUAUCGACGGCGGUGUUUGGCACCUCGAUGUCGGCUCAUCACAUCCUGGGGCUGAAGUAGGUCCCAAGGGUAUGGCUGUUCGCCAUUUAAAGUGGUACGCGAGCUGGGUUUAGAACGUCGUGAGACAGUUCGGUCCCUAUCUGCCGUGGGCGCUGGAGAACUGAGGGGGGCUGCUCCUAGUACGAGAGGACCGGAGUGGACGCAUCACUGGUGUUCGGGUUGUCAUGCCAAUGGCACUGCCCGGUAGCUAAAUGCGGAAGAGAUAAGUGCUGAAAGCAUCUAAGCACGAAACUUGCCCCGAGAUGAGUUCUCCCUGACCCUUUAAGGGUCCUGAAGGAACGUUGAAGACGACGACGUUGAUAGGCCGGGUGUGUAAGCGCAGCGAUGCGUUGAGCUAACCGGUACUAAUGAACCGUGAGGCUUAACCU